UGGGGGAUAUUGUACAAUGGGCGAAAGCCUGAUGCAGCGACGCCGCGUGGGGGAUGAAGGCCUUCGGGUUGUUAACUUCUUUUGCUCUGAACAAGGCAUGCCUUUGGGGUGUGUUGAGUGUAGGGGUUGAUUAGCGCCGGCUAACUACGUGCCAGCAGCCGCGGUAAUACGUAGGGCGCGAGCGUUGUCCGGAAUUAUUGGGCGUAAAGGGCUUGUAGGUGGCUGGUUGCGUCUGUCGUGAAAGCUCAUGGCUUAACUGUGGGUUUGCGGUGGGUACGGGCUGGCUUGAGUGCAGUAGGGGAGGCUGGAAUUCCUGGUGUAGCGGUGGAAGGCGCAGAUAUCAGGAGGAAUACCGGUGGCGAAGGCGGGUCUCUGGGCUGUUACUGACGCUGAGGAGCGAAAGCGUGGGGAGCGAACAGG
rnacentral:rRNA from 1 species